GAUUUUGGACAAUGGACGGAAGUCUGAUGGAGCAACGCCGCGUGAGCGAAGAAGGUUUUCGGAUCGGAAAGCACUGUUGUAAGGGAAGAACACGUACGGGAGUCACUGCCCGCACCUUGACGGUACCUUAACAGAAAGCCACGGCUGACUAUGUGCCAGCAGCCGCGGUAAUACGUAGGUGGCAAGCGUUGUCCGGAAUUAUUGGGCGUAAAGCGCGCGCAGGCGGUCCUUUAAGUCUGAUGUGAAAGCCCACGGCUCAACCGUGGAGGGUCAUUGGAAACUGGAAGACUUGAGUACAGAAGAGGAAAGCGGAAUUCCACGUGUAGCGGUGAAAUGCGUAGAGAUGUGGAGGAACACCAGUGGCGAAGGCGGCUUUCUGGUCUGUAACUGACGCUGAGGCGCGAAAGCGUGGGGAGCAAACAG
rnacentral:rRNA from 1 species